rnacentral:rRNA from 1 species
GAAGCCCUCAGCUCAACUGAGGAAGUGCGCCCGAAACUAUCGUCCUUGAGUACCGGAGAGGGUGGCGGAAUUCCCGGUGUAGAGGUGAAAUUCGUAGAUAUCGGGAGGAACACCGGUGGCGAAGGCGGCUUCCUGGACCUAUACUGACGCUGAGACGCGAAAGCGUGGGGAGCAAACAGGAUUAGAUACCCUGGUAGUCCACGCCGUAAACGUUGGGCACUAGGUGUUGCGGGUAUUGACCCCUGCAGUGCCAAGGGCGAAUUCCACAGUGGAUA